rnacentral:snRNA from 1 species
CUCUGAGGUUGAUGUGGCUGUGACACCUUUCACCCCACUGAUUUCCAAGGCUGGUUUGAUGGAUGUGUUUGGCUAAACAGGUUUCCCCUUCCUCACUGUCUGUUACAUGUGCCCCUCCCAAACCUGUGUGCUGAGUGGAAGAGGAUGACCAUCCUAGAUAGGAGUGUACCAUUUUCCUGUCAGGACAUAGUAUCCUUUCCAGGAGGCAUUCUGUCAAAAAUUGUAAAGGCGGCCUACUUCUGCUGCAGAGGGCAGCCAAGUCACU